rnacentral:rRNA from 1 species
GCGAAGCACUUUCUCGGAAGUUUUCGGACGGAAUAGGGAAUGACUGAGCGGCGGACGGGUGAGUAACGCGUGGGGAACCUGCCUCAUACAGGGGAAUAACAGAUGGAAACGUCUGCUAAUGCCGCAUAAGCGCACACUGUGGCAUCACAGAGUGUGAAAAACUCCGGUGGUAUGAGAUGGCCCCGCGUCUGAUUAGGCAGUUGGCGGGGUAACGGCCCACCAAACCGACGAUCAGUAGCCGACCUGAGAGGGUGACCGGCCACAUUGGGACUGAGACACGGCCCAAACUCCUACGGGAGGCAGCAGUGGGGAAUAUUGCACAAUGGGGGAAACCCUGAUGCAGCGACGCCGCGUGGGUGACGAAGUAUUUCGGUAUGUAAAGCCCUAUCAGCAGGGAAGAAGAUGACAAAAAAAAACUUUUUUAGCCCCGGCUAACGGGGUGCAAACAGCCGCGGUAAUACGUAGGGGGCAAGCGUUAUCCGGAUUUACUGGGUGUAAAGGGAGCGUAGGUGGCAUGGCAAGCCAGAAGUGAAAACCCGGGGCUUAACCCCGCGGAUUGCUUUUGGAACUGUCAGGCUGGAGUGCAGGAGGGGCAGGCGGAAUUCCUGGUGUAGCGGUGAAAUGCGUA